rnacentral:rRNA from 1 species
AUUGAUCGCUGGCGGCAGGCCUAACACAUGCAAGUCGAACGAGUGGCGGACGGGUGAGUAAUGUCUGGGAAACUGCCCGAUGGAGGGGGAUAACUACUGGAAACGGUAGCUAAUACCGCAUACCAUCGGAUGUGCCCAGAUGGGAUUAGCUAGUAGGUGGGUUAACGGCUCACCGAGGCGACGAUCCCUAGCUGGUCUGAGAGGAUGACCAGCCACACUGGAACUGAGACAGGGUCCAGACUCCUACGGGAGGCAGCAGUUGGUAAUAUUGCACAGUGGGCGCAAGCCUGAUGCAGCCAUGCCGCGUGUAUGAAGAAGGCCUUCGGGUUGUAAAGUACUUUCAGCGAGGAGGCGUUACUCGCAGAAGAAGCACCGGCUAACUCCGUGCCAGCAGCCGCGGUAAUAC